GCUGAAUAGGCAGUUGAUGGCCAGUGGAGUUGAUUUCCUUUGGAGUAUGGCCACUUGUACUUUUCCCAUGUCCAGAGGCUAAUCCCAGAGCCAUACAACACUCCUGUGACUCGAAAAUUAAAUUCAACUUUCUCCUCAUUUCUAUCAUCUAAUGAGAACCCCAAGCUCCUUGAAACACCAUAUCCCUAUUCCUCUUUCAAAUGGUCUCAGAUAUGAAAGAUUGGUGAUUAAGGUGAAGAAUGAUGAUUGCAGCACUUCAAUUGCACUUUCUUGAAACUUCUAUGUUCAAGGUUUUGUAAAACAAACAAACAAAUAAAUAAAUAAAGUACCUCUGGAGGCAUUGUUAUCUCCCCAUGAGUUCUUACCUGAUGUGAGAGUGUAUCAGAGCAGCUGUCUACACUUCCUCAUCUCAUUGUCUAUCAAAUCAUCCCUGAAUCACGCCUGCUACCCAUCUGCACACCUGCUGCAUGGAAAGCAACCAAGGAUAGUGGAUGAGGAGGACCA